UGGUGGAGUGAUUUGUCUGCUUAAUUGCGAUAACGAGCGAGACCUUACUCUGCUAAAUAGCCCGGCUAGCUUUGGCUGGUCGCCGGCUUCUUAGAGAGACUAUCAACUCAAGUUGAUGGAAGUUUGAGGCAAUAACA
rnacentral:rRNA from 1 species